rnacentral:rRNA from 1 species
UACGGGGGGGGCAAGCGUUUGUUCGGAUUUACUGGGCGUAAAGGGUGUGCAGGCGGCUGACCAAGUGGUGUAUGAAAUCGCCGGGCUUAACCGGGCGAGGCUAUGCCAGACUGGUCGGCUAGAGUGCGGGAGAGGGACGUGGAAUUCCGGGUGUAGUGGUGAAAUGCGUAGAGAUCCGGAGGAACCCCAGAGGCGAAGGCGGCGUCCUGGCCCGACACUGACGCUCAGACACGACAGCAUGGGGAGCGAACGGG